UAGGGAAUCUUCCGCAAUGGACGCAAGUCUGACGGAGCAACGCCGCGUGAGUGAAGAAGGAUUUCGGUUCGUAAAACUCUGUUGUUAGAGAAGAACAGCGCAUAGAGUAACUGUUAUGCGUGUGACGGUAUCUAACCAGAAAGCCACGGCUAACUACGUGCCAGCAGCCGCGGUAAUACGUAGGUGGCAAGCGUUGUCCGGAUUUAUUGGGCGUAAAGCGAGCGCAGGCGGUCAAUUAAGUCUGAUGUGAAAGCCCCCGGCUCAACCGGGGAGGGUCAUUGGAAACUGGGUGACUUGAGUGCAGAAGAGGAGAGUGGAAUUCCAUGUGUAGCGGUGAAAUGCGUAGAUAUAUGGAGGAACACCAGUGGCGAAGGCGACUCUCUGGUCUGUAACUGACGCUGAGGCUCGAAAGCGUGGGUAGCAAACAGG
rnacentral:rRNA from 1 species